AUCCAAGUGCACGGGCGUUUUCCUUCUCCGUGAAGCGAUAAGCUGAGAGAGGAAUUUUGCUAGUUGAAAACUAAACUAUGACCACUCCUCAUUGGGUUCGCCUGGUGAGGGAAUUUUUGGAACUUCCUCGUUUUCCCGGAA
rnacentral:snRNA from 1 species